rnacentral:rRNA from 1 species
UCCUUUUGUAGAUAAUUUAAGGUCUAGCCUGCCCACUGAAAUUUUAAAUGGCCGUGGUAUUUUGACCGUGCUAAGGUAGCAUAAUCAUUAGUUUUUUAAUUAAAAACUGGAAUGAAAGGUUGGAUGAGAAAAUAGCUGUCUCUAUUAAAUUUAAUUAGAAUUUUAUUUUUAAGUUAAAAAGCUUAAUUAUUAUUAAAAGACGAGAAGACCCUAUAGAGUUUAAUUAUUUAAUAAAAAUUAUAUUUUAGUAUUAAUUUAUUUAUUUUAUUGAAUAAUUUAAUUGGGGUGAUUGAAAAAUUUAAUUAACUUUUUUUAUUUAAGAACAUUAAUUUAUGAAUAAAUGAUCCAAUAUUUUUGAUUAUAAGAUAAAAUUACCUUAGGGAUAACAGCGUAAUUUUUUUAGAAAGUUCAUAUUAAAAAAAAAGAUUGCGACCUCGAUGUUGGAUUAAAAUAAAUUUUUGGUGUAGAAGCUAAAAUAUUAGGUCUGUUCGACCUUUAAAAUUUUACAUGAU